CCAAAUUUAGUUUAAUGAACAUCUCUUUGUUAAUGAGAAAGAUUUUUUUGGU
rnacentral:tRNA from 1 species